rnacentral:piRNA from 1 species
UAACCAGCAAAUCUCAUGACGAUCUCGGUA